CUGUGGUUCCCUCACUUUUAGGGAACCCCUUCUUUGGUCUGCUCUUUAUCAGGGAUGGACAGGCAGGGCGUUGCUUGUUUGUGUAUACAGAUGAGUAGAAGGGAGUCUGCGAGAUCUCCCGGAUGGGUCGGGGGUGCUCCCAGCUCAGAGACUCCAGCUCUGCCCCUGAGGGAUAAGGAAGGGUCUUGGAUUCUGCAGUGGUGAGUCUGCUUUCCUCUCCCUUCUCUUCAUUCUUUCAAGUCUUUUUACUUUCCCACAUUCAUUAGAUAAUCUCCUCCAACUCCUUUUUUUUUUUCUUAUUUGUUAGAACAUCUUAGAGGAUAAAAUGGGGUAACAGCUAACUGUUUUUUAAGGAACAUGUGUUUUAUUUAAGACUCUUACUUAAUAACUGUUGUCAUCAUUAUUAAUAUCACAGCCCUAACUAUUUGCUGGGUCUUGUGCUAUAUGAUUUCAGACUGAUCAUUUGUAAAUUUGUAGGAUCUUCUUUUUUCUUGGCACUGGGAAUCUAACACACGACUUUGCGCUUGCCAGGCAGGCACCUAUGCCAUUGAGCUAAAUCCCUGGCCCUUGUAGGAUCUUUUUAAAUUGUUUGGGAUUGGCAAGGAAAUGUGUG
rnacentral:lncRNA from 1 species